UGGGUAAUUUGGGCUGUAAUUUCGGCUUAUAGGGGUUAUUAUAGAGCGAUUUGG
rnacentral:tRNA from 1 species